UACGUAGGGACCAAGCGUUGUCCGGAAUCAUUGGGCGUAAAGCGCGCGGAGGUGGCUUCGUAAGUCCGUUGUGAAAGUCAAAGGCUCAACCUUUGAAAGCCGAUGGAUACUGCGAAGCUAGAGUACGGAAGAGGCGAGUGGAAUUCCUGGUGUAGCGGUGGAAUGCGCAGAUAUCAGGAGGAACACCAAUAGCGAAGGCAGCUCGCUGGGACGUUACUGACACUGAGGCGCGAAAGCGUGGGGAGCGAACAGG
rnacentral:rRNA from 1 species